UGAGCAAUCUGCCCUUCUCUUCGGAAUAAGCGUGGGAAACCGCGUCUAAUGCCGAAUACGACCUCCUUUCGCAUGAUCGGAGGUGGAAAGC
rnacentral:rRNA from 1 species